UUCUUUUUUCUUUUCUUUUCUCUCUUCUCCUUCCUUCCCGUGCGACCCUCCUUCCCUUCUCUCCGUUCGUGCAGCAACCGCCCCAACCGUCCUCUUCUCCUUCCGUUCAUGGCCAGCCGCAGCCCAGCCGCAACCACCACCUCUAUCUUCUUCUUCUCGUCCCGCCGCAGCCAACCGCAGCCAGCCGCCGAUCCUUUCCUUCCAUUUUCUUCUUCCGUCUGCAGCCCCGCCGCGAAGCAAGACCGCGCCGCUGCCAGUCCAGAUCUGCGGCGCCGUUGCCCAACCGUCUCAGCCGGUUCUGUCUCCGUCGAAGCCAAGGCCGCCGCGUGAACCUGUAACCGCCGUGUCUCUCCGCGCCGUUGUCCAGAUCUGCAACGCCGGGUCCCCACCGGUAGCCCCGUCCCAAUUGUUUUGCCGACGCUUAUCGUUCAGAUACGAGCCGUGUAGCAUCCAACAGUUGUGCAUCGUGAAGUCCUCAUCUAUUGCGCAACUCCUCGUUUUCCAGUCGCGGGUCCGACGUCCAUCUUUAUUGUAGUGCAUAUCUGUUUUGCACGCAUCAGUUUCAUUCGAUUGUCGCUGAUUCUGUUCUGUCGUCAAUCGUCAAAGCUAUGUUGUGAUUUCAUUGGUGAUAUUGGAGAGCUGUGCUUGGAUAUUUAAGUUUCGAAGUGAACUUCAUUGGAAUUGUUGCCUCAUUCUACUUGGAAUUUAAUUUAUUGGAUUUAGUACGAUUGAAGAACUUUACGUAAACUCGAGGCAAAGGAAAUAAAGGUGGCAAACCGGCGAGGGGUAGGAAGGAAGCGUGAUUGCCAUAGGGAAU